UACGAAGGGGGCUAGCGUUGUUCGGAAUUACUGGGCGUAAAGCGCACGUAGGCGGAUUUGUAAGUCAGGGGUGAAAUCCCGGGGCUCAACCUCGGAACUGCCUUUGAUACUGCAAGUCUCGAGUCCGAUAGAGGUGAGUGGAAUUCCUAGUGUAGAGGUGAAAUUCGUAGAUAUUAGGAGGAACACCAGUGGCGAAGGCGGCUCACUGGAUCGGUACUGACGCUGAGGUGCGAAAGCGUGGGGAGCAAACAGG
rnacentral:rRNA from 1 species